rnacentral:rRNA from 1 species
GCUAACAUGCAAGUCGACGACUCGUUCCUUCGGGUCAUAUGGGUGAGUGGCGAACGGGUGAGUAACAUGUAGAGUAGCCUACCUCAGAGUUUGGGAUAACCAAUGGAAACGUUGGCUAAUACCAAAUACCCCGCAACGAUCGAAUGGUCGAUGCAGGAAAGAUUUAUCGCUUUGGGACGGUCUCGCGGCCUAUCAGCUAGUUGGUGAGGUAAUGGCUCACCAAGGCAUCGACGGGUAAGUAGUCUGAGAGGACGAAUAGUCACACUGGAACUGAGACACGGUCCAGACUCCUACGGGGAGGCAACAA